rnacentral:tRNA from 1 species
GAGAUAAUUAUAUAUGAACUGCUAAUUCAUACUCCCAUGAAUAAAAACCAUGGUUAUCUUG